GACGAACGCUGGCGGCGUGCUUAACACAUGCAAGUCGAGCGGUAAGGCCCUUUCGGGGGUACACGAGCGGCGAACGGGUGAGUAACACGUGGGUGACCUGCCCUCAGCUCUGGGAUAAGCCUGGGAAACUGGGUCUAAUACUGGAUAUGACUCCACGGUGCAUGUCGUGGGGUGGAAAGCCUUGUGCGGCUGAGGAUGGGCCCGCGGCCUAUCAGCUUGUUGGUGGGGUGAUGGCCUACCAAGGCGACGACGGGUAGCCGGCCUGAGAGGGCGACCGGCCACACUGGGACUGAGACACGGCCCAGACUCCUACGGGAGGCAGCAGUGGGGAAUCUUGCGCAAUGGGCGAAAGCCUAACGCAGCGACGCCGCGUGAGGGAUGACGGCCU
rnacentral:rRNA from 1 species